rnacentral:rRNA from 1 species
GACGAACGCUGGCGGCGUGCUUAACACAUGCAAGUCGAACGGACAGGCCCUGCUUUUGUGGGGUGCUCGAGUGGCGAACGGGUGAGUAACACGUGAGUAACCUGCCCUUGACUUUGGGGUAACUUCAGGAAACUGGGGCUAAUACCGGAUAGGAGCUCCUGCUGCAUGGUGGUGGUUGGAAAGUUUCGGCGGUUGGGGAUGGACUCGCGGCUUAUCAGCUUGUUUGUGGGGUAGUGGCUUACCAAGGCUUUGACGGGUAGCCGGCCUGAGAGGGUGACCGGCCACAUUGGGACUGAGAUACGGACCAGACGGCUACGGGAGGCAGCAGGGGAGAAUAUUGCAGAAUGGGCGGAAGCCUGAUGCAGCAACGCCGCGUUCGUGAUGACGGCCUUCGGGUUGUAAACCGCUGUCUCCGGUGACGAAGCGGGAGUGACGGUAAUGGGUAAAGAAGCACCGGCUAACUACGUG